UACGAAGGGGACUAGCGUUGUUCGGAAUUACUGGGCGUAAAGCGCACGUAGGCGGAUUUGUAAGUCAGGGGUGAAAUCCCGGGGCUCAACCUCGGAACUGCCUUUGAUACUGGGAAUCUCGAGUCCGGGAGAGGUGAGUGGAACUGCGAGUGUAGAGGUGAAAUUCGUAGAUAUUCGCAAGAACACCAGUGGCGAAGGCGGCUCACUGGCCCGGUACUGACGCUGAGGUGCGAAAGCGUGGGGAGCAAACAGG
rnacentral:rRNA from 1 species